rnacentral:tRNA from 1 species
GGAGGAGUCGCGUAGUUUGGCCGAGCGCGCGCGAUUGGAAAUCGCGUAGGGGUCAAAAGCCCCUCAGGAGUUCAAAUCUCCUCUCCUCCGCCA